ACGGCGCAUCAGGCACCUUUAUAGCGAAGACGCGAAUAACGUUUAAAGAAAGUUCGGGCACGUUUGCGCGCUCUUUCUUCAGCGCCGGCGACAAACACGACUGUAGGAGAAACAAAGGAGGAUGAAAAAAAAAAAAAAAAAAAAAAAAAAAAAACGAUUCUGAUGAGGAGAAGCGCUGAAUUUGAGGAGGGAAAGUGUUCUGUCAGAGGAGACGCGGGAAGCGCGCGCGCGCUCCUGCGACAGGUGAGUCUACAGGUGCACAGGUAAGAACGCUUAAUUAAGGAUUUUUAGAAACCCAAGGCAGACAAUGCAGCGUGGUGAGGUUUUUAGUGCAUUUGAUGUUAUUUUUAAUAUAAUUCUCAAUCCAAAGUGAAAGAAUGAAAUGCUUCGACGACGAGAUUUCAGAGGGAUUCCGACACAUUAAGGGCGUGAACGAGCUUCCUCUCUCUCUCCCCCUCGCUUUCUGUCUCCGCAUUCUUUCACCGUUAUUGUUAUUUGUCUUCUACUGUGUUUUACGCUUUAGUGCUGAAGUCUUCAGAGGGCGACACUGCUUUCUGUAAAGAGAGUUUCAGUAUUUGUGAGGAUAAUGAAGACAUCAGUCUACUGGCAUCAGCUCUGAUUGAUGCUUUUGUUCAGCAUCGCAGGCACCUCUGACUCCUACAGUCUAUAAUAGCGCAGGGUGCAUGCUUGGUUUGUCCGUGACUCUGUCUGAAUCAUCCGGAGCUGCUGUAUCCCUGUUGGGUGAGUGACACGAAUCAGUCACACAAUACUUCAAUCAGUUAUUCUGUGAUUUCUACUUGAUUUGUUUUCCACUGAUAUAGUCAGUUUGAUUUAGUCAUAUUAAACAAUAUUUUUUACUAAAAAUAAAAUCAGCUCUUUUGCAUGUCAUCACAUAAAGCAUGCUUCUAUCUAUCUAUCUAUCUAUCUAUCUAUCUAUCUAUCUAUCUAUCUAUCUAUCUAUCUAUCUAUCUAUCUAUCUAUCUAUCUAUCUAUCUAUCUAUCUAUCUAUCUAUCUAUCUAUCUAUCUAUCCUUUCCACAUGUAUGUCGUCUUUUGUAUCUGUUUAUAUGCAGGUAUUUUACACAUUGUUAAGUAUUGUGUGAGACAGACAGACACUCAGCGACCUUCUGGGUUCAUGAAUGUGUUCAUUUAAUGGAGGAGACAGACGCCCCCUCUCUGCGCUCGCUCCCGUUACACCCUCUCCUUCAUUUCUGCCCUGUCACACAUUCAGCUCGAAAACAUUCUGCUACUAAAGGAUUUUUGAGGGGGGGCUUUUCUCUGAACAGUCUUUUCCAGCGGUGCAUUAUAACGUAAUAUUGUAAUGUAUGUAAAACUGUAAAUUAAAAAUGCAUAAUGCAAGCAAAUCCUUGUUUAAAAUGAGUAACGAGAAGGAUAUAUACAGUAUAAGAUAUAUGUAUAUACAGUAUAAUAUAUAUAUAUAUAUAUAUAUAUAUAUAUAUAUAUAUAUAUAUAUAUAUAUAUAUAUAUAUAUA